rnacentral:rRNA from 1 species
UGCAAGUCGAACGAGAAUCACUGGAAGGAGUUUUCGGACAACGGAAGGUGAGGACAGUGGCGGACGGGUGAGUAACGCGUGAGGAACCUGCCUUUCAGAGGGGGACAACAGUUGGAAACGACUGCUAAUACCGCAUGACACAUAGAGAUCGCAUGGUUUUUAUGUCAAAGAUUUAUCGCUGAAAGAUGGCCUCGCGUCUGAUUAGCUAGUUGGUGAGGUAACGGCCCACCAAGGCGACGAUCAGUAGCCGGACUGAGAGGUUGACCGGCCACAUUGGGACUGAGAUACGGCCCAGACUCCUACGGGAGGCAGCAGUGGGGAAUAUUGGGCAAUGGGCGCAAGCCUGACCCAGCAACGCCGCGUGAAGGAAGAAGGCUUUCGGGUUGUAAACUUCUUUUGUCGGGGACGAGUAGAAGACGGUACCUGGCGAAUAAGCCACGGCUAACUACGUGCCAGCAGCCGCGGUAAUACGUAGGUGGCAAGCGUUGUCCGGAUUUACUGGGUGUAAAGGGCGUGUAGCCGGGAAGGCAAGUCAGAUGUGAACUCCACGGGCUUAACUCGUGAACUG